GUUUGUGUGUCUGUAUCCCCUAAGCUAAAUUCAGGUGUGAGCAGUUAAAAGCUUCUGAGGAGUUUUUUGGUUGUAAAAUCCUAAAACUCAGCUACCAAAAUAGUGACAAAGAAAGCUAGGCUGGAGCCAAGACUUUUGGGAAUCACCCUAUCCAUGGAGAAACACUGGAGCCACACAGGAAAGUCUGCAGAUAAUUUUCCAGCAACCCCUCAGGGAGGUUGGUUAACACAGACAUGGCUGUCAUGGUCCUGCCCAGCAGUAGACUGAUUGGAUGGGAGGUAUUCGUGUCAAUGUUUGCUCUGGUUAAUGAGCGGAAGGAAGGAGGAGCAGGCACCUGUUUCUUAAGACUUUCACCUGCAGUUCACAGCUCAGCUGGAGACGGCUGGCCCAGCGUGAGGCAUCUGGAUCAGCCCCAAAAAGUUCCUGCACAUACAUAAGAAUGUCUGAGGAGUCUCAUUUCUUCAUGAGAAAAUUGUCUCCCCCCCGUUCAGACAAAGUGAAUGUUGUUUUUGAAAGUAAAACCAGCUGCAAAAAGUAUCAUUUUUAUAUGGAAGUCAACCAAAAUGAGACACUAUUAUCUGAAAUUAAUAGUAAAAGAAAUUCAUUCAGGUUGUUUUUCUUGCUGUGUAAACAAAUGUACUGUUUAUGACCCUAACAUUGGUGGCUUUAAAGUAAUAAUCAAUAAAAUGAUCAAAA